AGAGUUUGAUCCUGGCUCAGGAUGAACGCUAGCGGCAGGCUAAUACAUGCAAGUCGAACGGUAACAUUGGUGCUUGCACCAGAUGACGAGUGGCGCACGGGUGCGUAACGCGUAUGCAACCUACCUUUUACUAGAGUAUAGCCCAGAGAAAUUUGGAUUAAUCCUCUAUAAUAUCUUUUAAUCUCAUGAUUUUAAGAUUAAAGUUUUAACGGUAAAAGAUGGGCAUGCGUCCCAUUAGUUUGUAGGUGAGGUAACGGCUCACCUAGACUACGAUAGGUAGGGGCCCUGAGAGGGGGAUCCCCCACACUGGUACUGAGACACGGACCAGACUCCUACGGGAGGCAGCAGUAAGGAAUAUUGGACAAUGGACGAAAGUCUGAUCCAGCCAUGCCGCGUGCAGGAUGACAGCCCUACGGGUUGUAAACUGCUUUUAUACAGGAAGAAACACUCCGACGUGUCGGAGCUUGACGGUACUGUAAGAAUAAGGAUCGGCUAACUCCGUGCCAGCAGCCGCGGUAAUACGGAGGAUCCAAGCGUUAUCCGGAAUCAUUGGGUUUAAAGGGUCCGCAGGCUGUUUUUUAAGUCAGAGGUGAAAUCCUGCAGCUCAACUGUAGAACUGCCUUUGAUACUGGAAAACUUGAGUUAUUGUGAAGUGGUUAGAAUGUGUGGUGUAGCGGUGAAAUGCAUAGAUAUCACACAGAAUACCGAUUGCGAAGGCAGAUCACUAACAAUAUACUGACGCUCAUGGACGAAAGCGUGGGGAGCGAACAGGAUUAGAUACCCUGGUAGUCCACGCCGUAAACGAUGGAUACUAGCUGUUCGUCUAACAUUGGUUAGAUGAGUGGCUAAGCGAAAGUGAUAAGUAUCCCACCUGGGGAGUACGGUCGCAAGACUGAAACUUAAAGGAAUUGACGG
rnacentral:rRNA from 1 species